GUGACGAUUCAGCUUCUCCUCUCAGACUCAACUCUCUCUUGUUCACUCUCGAGUGCGAUUUCCGGCGGCAUAACCACCGUGAGCCACCGUCUCUAAUCACCCCGUAAACACAAAUCCCCACUCGUUUCCGAUCCUAUUGUGACUCCUCAGCUUAACAUCGCUCUCGCCUCUUUCGUCUUCGUUCGGACUCUCUCUCUCUCUUCGUCUCGUCUUCUUCUCCGAUGCGAUCUUGCUCUCUCUCGAUCUCGCGCGGUUUCUAUGAUUCAACCUCUUAAACGGCCGGUAUCACUCCGAUGUCUUCUUCAAAAGUCAGAUAAGUCGUUUCUCGUUCCGAUUCCGUCUCUGACUCGGUGCUGCAAUGAUGAAGCUUCACGUUGUUAUUACGUUGAAAUUGUGGCAGGUGUGAUGUAUUUCUCUGUUGCAAUUGCAGAUGAUGAAGAUGAAGGUUCUGUGUUGACUGACGAUUCUCUGUAGUUGCGAUGGAGGAUGAAUUGCGAUGAUAUUGCCUCGUGUUGCUGUUGAUGAUGAAGGAUGCGCAAAGAGGUGAUGAUGUUGCUGUUAUCGUGAAUUUGCGAAUCGUGUUUGACAAGAAUUGAAGAUCGCAGUUGAGGCGUGAUGAUGAGGUGAAGAUUCUUCGAAGAGCGACGAGACCGAAGACUUUGUUGCAGAACGAAGGGAGAAGCUUGGAGAAUGGAUCGAGAAUGCUUCAAGUUUGUUACGAUAUGGUGGAGAUAGAAAGAUGAAGAGCGUUGGAGGUUGAACCAUGGAAGUUCUGAGAUGAUGCAGGUGGUGACUCGGAAGGUGAUUCGGAAGGUGAUGAAGAAGGUGAUG